rnacentral:rRNA from 1 species
GAUGAACGCUGGCGGCGUGCUUAACACAUGCAAGUCGAACGAAGUGGAGAUCUUCGGAUUGAAACUUAGUGGCGGACGGGUGAGUAACGCGUGGGUAACCUGCCUCGUACAGGGGGAUAACAGUUAGAAAUGACUGCUAAUACCGCAUAACCCGCUAAGGUCGCAUGACCUGGACGGAAAAGAUUUAUCGGUACGAGAUGGACCCGCGUCUGAUUAGCUAGUUGGUGAGGUAACGGCUCACCAAGGCGACGAUCAGUAGCCGGUCUGAGAGGAUGAACGGCCACAUUGGGACUGAGAUACGGCCCAGACUCCUACGGGAGGCAGCAGUGGGGAAUAUUGGGCAAUGGGGGAAACCCUGACCCAGCAACGCCGCGUGAAGGAAGAAGGCCUUCGGGUUGUAAACUUCUUUUAGCAGGGACGAAGAACGUGACGGUACCUGCAGAAAAAGCAACGGCUAACUACGUG